GCUUACGGCCAUACCACCCUGAGAAAGCCCAAUCUCGUCUGAUCUUGGAAGCUAAGCAGGGCCCGGGCCUAGUUAGUACUUGGAUGGG
rfam:Tetraodon nigroviridis, WGS project CAAE01000000 data, contig: CNS0BTNZ, chromosome: undetermined